rnacentral:lncRNA from 1 species
AUCUUACCACCAAUCUUCUGUGAUAAGGCUAUCUGAAAGUCCAAUUUUGAUAAAGGCCAUUGCUGAUCAGUUUGGAGCAUUGGAGAUACAUACUGUGAGUUAUUGAAUUUUGUUUUUUAUCUAUUUUUUAUUGUAGUUUUAUUUUUAAAAUAAUGUUAAUUAAUUUUUACCUGUUUUUAAUAAGGUUUCACCCUCUGAGGAACUUAAUGGAAAGUUUCAUGUGAAUGACAUCUCUCAACAUGAGUCAGUGAGUGGCAUCAAUAUUUAUUCAAUGUUUUACACAGAAGAGGUAAUUUCUAUAAUAACUGUGAUUUAUUGACAUCUUUUUCAACUUGCAUGGUUAGUCUGUAUCUGUCACUGCUGAUCAUGAUCCAGACAACCUUCAAGUUGUAACUCCAGCCAAGAGAAUGUCGGCUGACUUUGAUUUGGAGCUACCACAAAGCCCCCACGUUAAAUCCACUCAAUUGUCAUCUUCCAAGAUGGCCAAGCAUAUCAAGACUGAAUGAUUAACACAAACAUGAUAAAUUAUGUAUAACCUUUUUGAGAACUAAAUUUUAAUACAUCAUAGUUUGAUGUAUAUUUUGUAACCUCAUGCUUAACUCCGCAUAGAUCUAACUUUGAAACAUUACUCCUAUAUAUAUUAUGUCACUGUAUUGUCAUAUUUUCUUUUACUAUUAAGUAUAGAAUACAAGAAUGAAACAUGACUCACGACUUAUAUAGUAAACUAACAUGCAUAUUGGCAUUUGAACUUAAGUUAAGGUAAUUCUAUCAUAGUUGGAUAAUUUCAACAAACACAAUAACUAUAAUAUAUGAAAGUAAGUAUAUUCAUUUGUUCAAUUAUAGAUAUAUAAUUGUGUAUAUAAUAUACUUUUUUAAAGUGACAAUUGUGUGUCUUGGUUUAAUUCACUAAUUUCUAUUACAAACAUAGAAUAUGCAAUGAAAUUUUUUAUUAUUUUAUUUAUAUAUCCAGUUUAUAUCACUAAUUUUGAUGGUUAAUAAAAUUUAAUCAUUUUAUAAUUUCAGAUGAUGGCAUGAACUCUGUUAUAACAAAUUUUGUUUUCAUGUGAUUUCAUUAUAAAUUAAUAUUAAAUAGAGACAAACAUCGUUAUAUACAACAUGUUUUUAGACAAUAACAUCAAUUUUGUUUAUUAACCUUUAACAUUAAUAUUGUAGGUUAUAGAUUGAAAUCGUACUUCACUAUCUUAGGUUACUAAUAUAACAUAAAUUGAUUAAUAUAAAAUAACUAAUUCAGAUUUUUUAAUACAACCUUUUUUUUUCUAGAUCGAUCACCAUCCUAUUCCAUGUCAUUUUAUCUUUCCAGCACUAAAUUUUUGUGUAUUAAGUUUUGAUUUUAAAAUCUUAUUUACCAUAUCAUCAGAUUUAUUUUGAUUAUUUUUUUCCUACUUUCGAUAUUGCAGGUGAGUUGACAUACCAUUCUCAACAUAACAUUGGAAAACACAAC